AGGCAGGUGAUCAGUUCAUGAGUCAGGUAUUGAAAUGAACAUUCAGAAACUUCUCAUUCAUUUAAAAGGGUGACUUCAUAAAUAUCAACACACAUCCAGAGCUAGAACCUGAACAUUAAAAAUGGCCUAAGUUCUCAAAAGACAAGAGGAAUAAAGCUGACUGAAAACACUGUGUACACAGGUCUUUCCUCCUACUCAAUCAAUUUACUUACAAUCACUCUCCAGUAUGAAGUACUUUUCCUCCCUAAAGCAAAAUUACUCCUAAUAUGGGCUGGUCUCAAUCACAGAUUCUACCACUUUCGUUUAUUCAGUGUUAUCUUAGACUAGGGAAGUUCUUUUACCUCCACAUGGUUUUAAUAACAGAGCCACAACCACCUUCCUACCCCCACUGUAGAUUUAUUUUAUACUCAGCUGUGCUUUGAAAGAACUUCUUUGUUUACUAUCAAUAACAUAGACCACCAAUGUAGUUACUAGAAUAUAUGUAAUAAAUGCAUCUAGAGUGUACUGAGUUUAACUUCUAGUACUGAACUGCAUGUGUUUCAUAGAAUCAUAGAAACAUAGAAUCACAGAACGGCCUGGGUUGAAAAGGACCACAAUGAUCAUGUAGUUUCAACCUCCCUGCUAUGUGCAGAGUCUCCAACCACUAGACCAGGCUGCCCAGAGACACAUCCAGCCUGGCCUUGAAUGCCUCCGGGGAUGGGGCAUCCACAACCUCCUUGGGCAACCUGUUCCAGUGCAUCAUCACCCUCUGAGUGAAAAACUUCCUCCUACUAUCUAACCUAAACCUCCCUUAUCUCAGUUUAAAACCAUUCUCCCUUGUCCUAUCACUAUCUACCCUCAUAAACAACCAUUCCCCUCCUGUUUAUAUGCUCCCUUCAAGCACUGGAAGGCCACAAUGAGGUCUCCUCAGAGCCUUCUCUUUUCCAAGCUCAACAAGCCCAGUUCCCUCAACCUUUCUUCAUAGGAGAGGUGCUCCAGCCCUCUGAUCAUCUUAGUGGCCCUCCUCUGGACCCACUCCAAGAGCUCCAUGUUAUUCCUGU
ensembl:lncRNA